GAUGAACGCUAGCGGCAGGCCUAACACAUGCAAGUCGAGGGGUAGCAGGAUUAAGCUUGCUUAAUUGCUGACGACCGGCGCACGGGUACGUAACGCGUAUGCAACCUACCUUAUACUGGGGUAUAGCCCGGAGAAAUUCGGAUUAAUCCCCCAUAGUACUAAUGAAUCGCAUGGUUUAUUAGUUAAAGCAUUGCGGUAUAAGAUGGGCAUGCGUCCUAUUAGCUAGAUGGUGAGGUAACGGCUCACCAUGGCUACGAUAGGUAGGGGGCCUGGGAGGGGGGUCCCCCACACUGGUACUGAGACACGGACCAGACUCCUACGGGAGGCAGCAGUGAGGAAUAUUGGUCAAUGGGCGCAAGCCUGAACCAGCCAUGCCGCGUGCAGGAAGAAUGCCCUAUGGGUUGUAAACUGCUUUUAUUUGGGAAUAAACCUCUUUACGUGUAGAGAGCUGAAGGUACCAAAUGAAUAAGCACCGGCUAACUCCGUGCCAGCCGCCGCCGUAA
rnacentral:rRNA from 1 species